UGGGAGUUCGGUGGUGGGCGAAUCGCUCGCCAAUCCGGUCAGGUCCGGAAGGAAGCAGCCGUAACGAGAUAUGGUUCGGGUUGCCGCCGGCUCCUUAUU
rnacentral:SRP_RNA from 1 species